GUCAUAUGUAAACAGUGACAGUUUACUUCUUCCUUCCUGAUUUGGAUUCCUUUUAUUUCUUUUUCUUCUCUGUUUGCUUUAAGGAGGACCUCCAAAACUGUGUUAGAAAAGUGGUGAGAGUGGGCAUCCUUGUCUUGUUCCUGAUCUUAGAGGAAAUGCUACCAGCUUUUCAACAUUGAGAAUGGUGGGAAUGUCAUAUAUGGCCUUUGUUAUGUUGAGAACUAGAAGAAAUAAUCUAAAAACUUGUUUGGAUACAGAAAAGACAUUAAGUAGCCAAGACAACCUUCAGAAAGAAGAACAGAGCUGAAGGAAUCAGGCUCCCUGACUUCAGGCUAUACUACAAAGCUACAAUAAUCAAAACAGUAUGGCACUGGCACAAAAACAGACACAUAGAUCAAUGGAACAGGACAGAAAAUCCAGAAAUAAACCCAUGCAUGUAUGUGCAAUUAAUCUAUGACAAAGGAGGCAAGAAUAUACAAUGGGGAAAAGGCAGUCUCUUCAAUAAGUGGUAAAACUGGACAGCUGCCUGUAAGAGAAUAGAAAUUGGAAUAUUCUCUAACAUCAUUACAAAAAUAAACUCAAAAUAGGUUAAAGACCUAAAUGUAAGACCAAAUAGUAUAAAACUCCUAGAAGAAAACAUAGGCAGAACAUUCUUUGACAUAAAUUACCACAAUAUUUUUGGGUCUAUCUCCUAAAGUAAAUAAAUGAAAGCAAAAAUAAACAAAUGGGACCUAAUUAAAUUUGAAAGCUUUUGCACAGCAAAGGAAACCAUUAACAAAAAUAAAAAGACAACCUACUUAAUGGGAGAAAGUAUUUGCAAAUGAUAUGACCAUAGGGGAUUAAUAUCAAACAUAUAUAAAUAGCUCAUUCAAUUCAAAAAUUUAAAAAGCAGCUUAAUUAAAAAAUGGGGAGAAAAACGGAAUAGCCAUUUUUCCAAAGAGGAAAUGCAGAUGACCAACAGACACAUGAAAAGAUGCUCAUCACGGCUAAUUAUCAAGGAAAUGUAAAUGAAAACCUCAAUGAGAUUAUCACCUCACACCUGUCAGAAUGUCUACCAUCAAAAAGAACACAAAUAACAAAUGUUGCAAGGAUGUGAAGAAAAGGGAACCCUCUCACACUGUUGGUGGGAAUGUAAAUGGGUGCAACCACUGUGGAAAACAGUAUGGAAGUUUCUCAAAAAAUUAAAAAUAGAACUACCAUACGACCCAGCAAUUGCAGUCCUGGGUAUAUAUCCAAAACAAAAACAAAAGGAAAAAUAAAAACACCAAUUCAAAAAGAUGCAUGCACCCCAAUGUUCACACCAGUAUAAUUUAUAAUUGCCGAAUUGCCAAGAUAUGGAAGCAACCUAAGUGUCCAUCAACAGAGGAAUGGAUAAAGAAGAUGUGAUAUAUGUAAACACACACACACACACACACACACACACACACACACACACACACACACACACACACACACAGAGGAAUAGGAAUAUUAGCCAUUAAAAAGAAUGAAAUUUUGCCAUUUGCAACAACAUGGAUGGACUUGAGGGGCAUUACACUAAGUGAAACAAGUCAGACAAAGACAAAUGCUGUAGGAUACCACUUAUAUGUGGAAUCUAAAAUAAUACAACAAACGAGUGAAUAUGACAAACAAACGAUCAAACAAAAAGCAGCAGACUCGGGAUAAAGAGAACAAAGUAGUGGUUACCACUGGGGAGAAGGUGGGGAGGAGCAAUGUAAGGGUAGGGGAGUGGAAGGGGGAAAGAAGGCAGAUGGAAAGCAGCCUGUUUUCCUAUUUGCAAAGAAAUGUUGAGGUUCCAUCUAGCUAUUCCUGGUCCUUGUCUUGGUGUGACCAGAUUAGGGAUCUCUGGAGGCAGGCAUAGGACCACCAGGCCUACUCAGAUAACUGGAUGAUUCUGACUGUAGUUUAUUCAUUCAGUAGUAUAUAUUAAGGCCCUGCUACAUGCAGGCAUUUUUCUACACAGUAAAAUAACUUAAUGAAUGAAGUAGUCACAACCCCUAGGGUGAAAUUCUAGUCGCACAGCUGGGCAGUCACUCUAGACAUUAUAAGCAUUGGUACCCAUGGUACAUUAGAUGUGAUGCCUCAGGGCUUCCUCUAGGUAUGGAUGUGUCCUCUCACAUUCUGACUAUGUUAAUGAAGCACAGAAUCUACUAAAACUGUGAGCGGUCUUUGGGCCCACAAAGAGGGCCCCCAUCUUCACAGAAUAGAGAGGGAUUGUAUGGGGUCUGGGGCUGAGGAGGAGCCAACAGGCACCUGGCCCUCCCACAUCUGUUGAUUUUCAUGGAAGAGCUGAGGUCUGGGACCUUCCCCUGCAGGAGCAAAUGAGUCAAAGAGAGUUGUGCAUGGGGUCCUGGACUCUCUGGGAAGCAACAGGGGAGAGGCAGGUUCAGCUGACCCCUGAGAGACCCAUUCUCUCCACAGUCCCAUGUCAUUUGACUCACCCUCUCCAUACCCAUCCCUUAUGACCACCACACAGGGGCCCAGAACAGGAGGCAUGGGGAGCAGCCUGCUCACCAAAAUGUCAAAGUCAGUCCUGACGCUCAUGUGCAUGGACCAUGGGGUAGGCUCUGUCCAGGACCUUGGGGAGAAGUGUCAUUAGGAAAAUCAGACUCACACAGGAUCUUGGUUAGACUUGCUCUGUGGCUGAGCCUUCCAUUGCCAGGACAGGUAAACAGGGUUUGGAAGUGGGCUGGGAUCAUGAUCUGGGUUCAGACCCAAAGAAGGGUGCUGGGAACCCAGUGUGGAAUGAAAGGCCAGGCCUCUGACUCUGCCCCACACGUGACUCUCCCCAGUGCUCCUUCUCUCAUCUGGGGCACCUGGCCAGGUUGACAUGUGCAAUGAAGCUGGCAGCCCCUGAACUGUCUCUGCCUCAAGCUAAAGGUUGCCUCUGUGCAAUUCAGUUGGCGUGAGUCAGACCUGAAGCAGCAUGAUCUCCUUUUCUUGGUCAAUGCAGGACUGCUAGAUCCCACUGAGACAGAGCCAGAGGAGAAGGGGGACUGCAGGUUGGGGUGAGGUUCAUGGGCUGGGUAGCUUUUUACAGGCAGUGGAAUCUUGACAAUUUUUUAAAGGCAAGAGAAAGUCAGAACCUUACUUUUUCUUGCUCCAGCACUAGUUUCAAGGCUCAUGCCAGUGGCCGAGCCAGAAGAAGGGCCAACCCUGAAUCUAGAAAUAGCUUCACCUCUGUUUCUACCACCAUCUCUAGUGCGGGAGCCAAUGUCACCUCCACUAGCUCCUCCAGCGGUGAAGCAAGCCACAUCUGCUCCGCCUGACCAGCAGGUCCUGAGCUGGAGUCAGUGGGACAGCGUUCUCCAGUGAGAAUUCCGUCUCCAUCUCCAAAAAGAGAGACAGAGCCAGCUUCAGCCCCAGGGAACUCCUGCCUCUAGCAUGUGACCUAGAAGAGCAGGCCAAGUGAGGAGAAGCCUGACGCCAGAGCUCCUCUGCAAGGCUGGUGGCAGGGCAGUUGACUCUGACAGAUGCGAUGAGUAGCUGGGCUUACAGGGCAGAGCUGGGGCAGGGCUUCUCUCUGCCGUCAGCUGCCCCAAACCUGCCUUUCCCUGAUCCAGCCUCCUAUGAAAUGGGCCCAAAUCCCAGAUUCACUAUUUAUCAGCUGUGUGACCUGAGCAAGCUCCAUAAGCUGCAAGCUGCUGCUGUCUACCUAAGCUUGGCUGAGACGGGUAACGACAGGACUUGCCACACAGAAUGGCUGUGCAGAUUCAUUGAGGUCUAACAGGCAGAAAGCUGUAGGGCUUUUUAUUAUUGUUUGGGGAAGGGUAGCUCGCUGCGUGCGGCCAGGGCCGUGGGUCACCCACUCAUCUGCUCAGCAGCCUCAGCAUUUAUUAGGCACCUGAAGUGUACAAAAGUACAAGACGAACAAGCCAACCCUAUGGCUGUGCUGCAGCAAGGUAACGCGCGCCUGACUGGGGAGUCAGACCGAGGGGUGAGCAGAAUGAGUGGAAGACGCCCUCUAGUGGAACUGAGCUGCCUCUUCUGGAGCUUGGAGUUAGUGAGAAGCCAAAGCUAAAAAGCUGAAGCUCUGAUCUGUUCUUAGAAACAAUGAUCUGCACAUACAUAUAAACGAAAAAAAAGUGCAGUGUACUGUAUAUAUAUAUGUAUCUACAUGCAAUAUAAUGUGUAUGUGCAGUCGAACUGUAAUAAUUCUACCUAAUCAAACUGAAAAAUGGGAAAAAAAACAAAGUAAAAACAACAGAAUUCAAGCAAUUAAAAAAAAAAAAAAAGCUUCUCAAUAGAAAUGGGAAUGGCGGCCCCUAGUGACCAACCUGAGCACUCCAUCCUUCAGUCCUGCGGGACCUUAGUGUUCAGAGGAGCCCAGUGAAAAACCCUCAUCCAGGCAAUUUGAUUUUUUUAUGUUCUCAAUUAAAAAGUAUUUGGACUUUAAUGCCCGUCAUAUAUAUAUAUUCACCUCUCCUUCCCUCUUUCCACUCUGCUCAGGAAGAGCUCCUGAAAAUCUAAAAAGGUUUGUAGUAAAGACAACUCAUUGAGCAGGGAGCUGGUAGAGUGGAGGCUAGAGGUCUGUUAAGAGUGGAAGGAUAGGAAUGGGAAAGGGGAGCGGGCAGGAUGCGCUUUUUUUAGCUUCUCACUUAAAGUUAUUUUGAAAAAUUCCAGUCUUCUCUGGAUUAACAGGAAGAGGGUAGUUUUGUCUAUGGGCAGGGUGAGGGGCAGGAGGUCCUGGUAAUGAGGUAAAAUGAUGAUGGCUGGGCUUUUCAGGAGGGGGUGCUGAGACAGAAAAAUUAGCAGGUCUCUGGCUUCCAUGCUGGUCCAUCCGGCUAGCACUUAGCUUCUUCCAGGCUGUUGGAUAGAUGGGGUGGGUGGGGGUAACUUUCUUCCCUAAACCAACCAGUCCAGUUUGUCCUCAGGAAACCCAGGUCCCUGCUGCUUCUUUCCUUCACCAUACCCCCAAGUGGAGGGCACCCUUCUUUCCCCAAGGACGGGCACUGCAGGGGAGUCCCAUGGACCAGGUGUCCAAAUGGACUGUGCAACCUUGAGUCCAAAUGGUUGGACCAGAGACAGGUAUGUGUGCAUUCUGCGACUCCGCACUGAGCCCCUAUACAAUCGCUGCCAGUCCAUCAGUCAGGAGUCUCGCCUCAGUGCUAGUCAGCAAGGACACGUGGCUUGGGUGGCUUAUAAGCAAUGUCGGGAGGACCCCGGAAAGGCGGAAGAGGCCGCCACCUCGCGGGGCGAGCGAGGGCGGGCGAGGGCUGGCGGACUGGCCCACCUGAGACCGGCCCAGGCUGGAGUCCAGGAGCCCCCGCUGCCCUCUUCGUAAAACCGGCCUCCUACAGGCGGAACCCGCUGCAGCCGAGGCGGUUGGGUCGGCGCCCUGGGUCGCGGACGAGCGCUGGAGGGGCCUCGCCGCAGGGGCUGAGCGCUUCCCCAACUGCCUCGCUGAACCCCGCACCGGCCUGAUCCCUCGUCUCCCCGAGUUUGGGUGAGAAGUGGGGCUGCUCUGCCCAGGAUGGAUUUUAGAGCAAGAAAGCCAGCGAGCCGACGGACCCCGCCCGAACUUCCCCCGAGACCCCCGUGAAUGAGUUCGCCACGCCCACCCGUGUUGACCGGCUUACGCCCCGCGGCUCUCCAGACCCACCAUCCCGCUCCAAGUUCAGCACCCGCCGCCGUGGAAAGCGGACAGCGCCUCACCUCUACCUACCCGGUUGGCAGGGCGUCUCCAGAGACAGAGGUGCCCGGGGAUCAAGGCUGGGCCCCCACCCCCAGCAGGUUGCUGCCCUCCGGAAGGUGGGGCGCUGCCCCAAAGGAACUCUCCGGUGCACCCAGGGGGAGGUUCCAUUUCAACCUCUGAUUAAAAACAAGGUUCUCUUGGGUACUUAGGGGGCUCUGAGUGCAGGUGCUAGAAUGCAGAAAACAGGCCUGCCCCUCACAGUGUCUACUGAGGAAUGGAAAUUACAAAGAGUGCCGCAGCCCGUGCAGUGGCCCCUGCGGCUAGGAAGGCUUCCUGCGCCAGAAAAGACUCCCAUUCUGAACACCCAGACCCAGAGAGAAAAAUCACAUCCCCCACCAACUUCUAUGAGCCAAGACACUGACUUCAACGCAAAUACCCAACUUUUAAAUUUGCCUCUGAUGCUUCCUAGAUCAGAUGUCUGACGAUGUUUUAAGGACUACAAGCGAAUCACAAGGGAAACAUUCAGACACUGAACAACAACCCUGAACUUUUCCAGGGGACAGAUGAGUACUUCAAGUGGAGUUUCUUUCUUUUUUUCUUCCUUAUUCUUAAUUCUUCCUCUGUUAAUGGAACACAAGCCUGCUGAAAGGACAAAGGAUGGCAGUUUUACUUUCUGUUGGUUGUCCAGCCUUCCAAACCCUUGGACAAAUUCAAGCACUGUGGAAAAGACUCCAUUCAACCAGGAGUCACCUUGCUGCAGAUCCCAGCCAGGUUGGGACAUGCACACACAUAUUUCCAAAAAUAACAGAGUUUGAAGAGGAAGGGAGAGCAAGUUCCAGGCAAAGGGUAGGGGGAAAGGGCAGGGGGGAAGACUGUCAAGAGAGGAGAACCAAGAGGGAGACAGUGCACACGUGACUUGGCUUCCACUGCGACACACACAAAAGGAGCAAAUGAGGCAAGCUCUGUCAUUACAGUGUAUGAUCAAGAAAGUAAUUCUUUAAAAUGACAGUGGAAUGUCUCAAGUGAGGAGAAAAGAGAUCAAGAGAGAGAACACUGGACAGAGUCAGAGCUGAGUUCCAGCCCAGCCCUUCCACAGAAACAAGCGGCAUGGACCAGUUACCUGGCCUUUUCAAGUUUCACCAUCCUCAUCUGUAAAGGAGUUUGUACUAGAGGAUUCCCUAAGAAUUUUCCAGGUCUAACGGCUAUGAUUCCUGUUUUUGAAGUCGUUAUUUUUUUUCAAAAAAAGUAAUCUUAGGAUACAAGAAAAGAUGAGAUUUUUAACUUCCCUUUGCCCGUCAGAGAACUUACACUGUCAUAGGUCUGUUCACAGCCCCACUCCAGAUUUAACACUUAUCCCAAUAGCAAUUGCUCCUAGGAAUUUAAUGAAUCUGCUUACCACAAAGAUAGGGUGCUUCUGUUUAUAAACAUCAUAUAAGUGCAAAUAUCAAAUAUCAGUAGUAAGGGAAAAGAACAAUAGCUGGAUAAUUUCAAAAUAAAUUCUGUUGUUGUCAAAAAAAAAAAAAAAAGAA